UCAAGUGAACAAGCGCACGUGGCGGAUGCCAUGGCGGCGGGAGGCGAUGAAGGACGUACUAACCUGCGAAAAGCACAGAUGAGCCGGUAAGGGGCGUAAUAGUCUGUGAUAUCCGAAUGGGGCAACCCGAUACAAUAUGUAUCACUUAUACCGGAAGGUAUAAGGGCGAACCGGGGGAAGUGAAACAUCUCAGUACCCCGAGGAAAAGAAAUCAAACGAGAUCUCCUAAGUAGCGGCGAGCGAACGGGAGGGAGCCCAAAAGCUUAAUAUGUUCAAGCAGAACGACAUGGAAAGGUCGACGACACGGGGUGAUAGUCCCGUAUGCGUAAGAGCAUAAUAAGUGAGCGUGAGUAGGGCGGGACACGUGGUAUCCUGUCUGAAUAUGGGGGGACCAUCCUCCAAGGCUAAAUACUACCCGACGACCGAUAGUGAACCAGUACCGUGAGGGAAAGGCGAAAAGAACCCCUGUAAGGGGAGUGAAAUAGAAUCUGAAACCGCGUGCGUACAAGCAGUGGGAGCAAGCUUAGGCUUGUGACUGCGUACCUUUUGUAUAAUGGGUCAGCGAGUUAUCCGUAUUAGCGAGGUUAACCUAUAUGGGGGAGCCGCAGGGAAACCGAGUCUUAAAAGGGCGAGCAGUUGAUACGGGUAGACCCGAAACCGAGUGAUCUAGUCCUGGACAGGCUGAAAGCAGGGUAACACCUGCCGGAGGGCCGAACCUACUGUCGUUGCAAAGCCAGAGGAUGAUCUGGGACUAGGGGUGAAAGGCCAAUCAAACCCGGUGAUAGCUGGUUCUCCCCGAAAGCUAUUUAGGUAGCGCCCUGUUAAUUGGCGGAUGGGGGUAGAGCACUGUUACGGUAAGGGGUUGGGUUACCAACAGCCGAACCGUUGCAAACUGCGAAUACCAUCCAGUCUUAUACAGGUGACACACAGUGGGUGCUAACGUUCAUUGUGUAGAGGGAAACAACCCGGACCGCCAGCUAAGGUCCCAAAGUCCUGAUUAAGUGGGAAACGAUGUGGGAAGGCAUAGACAGCCAGGAUGUUGGCUUAGAAGCAGCCAUCAUUUAAAGAAAGCGUAAUAGCUCACUGGUCGAGUCGGCCUGCGCGGAAGAUGUAACGGGGCUCAAAUCAGGCACCGAAGCUGCGGAUUUGCACUUAUGUGCAAGUGGUAGGGGAGCGUUGUGUAAGUCUGUGAAGGAGAACGGGGACGUUUUCUGGAGAUAUCACAAGUGCGAAUGCUGACGCAAGUAACGAUAAAACGGAUUAAAAGUCCGUUCGCCGGAAGACCAAGGUUUCCUGUCCAACGUUAAACGGGGCAGGGUUAGUCGGUACCUAAGUUCAGGCUGAAAAGCGUAGACGACGGAUAACAGGUUAAUAUUCCUGUACCGCGUACAUUGCGAUGGGAUGACAGAGUAGGUAAGGCAAGGCGGACAACGGUUGUUCCGCUUCAAGGAUGUAGGUAGUAAGAGAGGUUAAAUGAUCUUUUACGAUGAUCUGAGAUCUGAUGUCCAAAAAGGUAUUCCUUUUAGGUUGCUCUCUCCACACUCUCAGGAAAAGUCCCUAAGCUUCAGAUGUACGUCGGCCGUACCCCAAACCGACACAGGUGGUCGGGUAGAAGAUACCAAGGCGCUUGGGAGAACCCGGGUGAAGGAACUAGGCAAAAUUGUACCGUAACUUCGGGAGAAGGUACGCUGAAGUGAGUGUAAAGAUUUACUCUUGAAGCUUACUUCAGCCGCAGAUAAAUGGCGGCUGGGACUGUUUAACAAAAACACAGCACUCUGCUAACCUGAAAGGGGAUGUAUAGGGUGUGACACCUGCCCGGUGCCGGAAGGUUAAAUGAUGAGGUGAGUUUUUUUACGAAGCCUCUGAGUGAAGCCCCGGUAAACGGCGGCCGUAACUAUAACGGUCCUAAGGUAGCGAAAUUCCUUGUCGGGCAAGUUCCGACCUGCACGAAUGGUGUAACCAUGGCCGCGCUGUCUCCACCCGGGACCCAGUGAAACCGAAAUCGCUGUGAAGAUGCAGUGUACCCGCGGCUAGACGGAAAGACCCCGUGAACCUUUACUGCAGCUUGACACUGAACCUUGAACCUGUUUGCGCAGGAUAGGCGGGAGGCAUUGAAGAGAAGUUUCCGGACUUCUCGGAGCCGUUGGUGAAAUACCGCCCUGACAGUUUUGAGGUUCUAACUUGUGACUCACAUCAGAGGACAGUGUCUGGCGGGAAGUUUGACUGGGGCGGUCUCCUCCCAAAGAGUAACGGAGGAGCACGAAGGUCGGCUGAUCACGGUCGGAAACCGUGAGAUCAGUGUAAUGGCAUAAGCCGGCUUGACUGCAAGAGGUACAUCUCGAGCAGGUGCGAAAGCAGGUCAUAGUGAUCCGGUGGUCCCAUAUGGACGGGCCAUCGCUCAACGGAUAAAAGGUACUCUGGGGAUAACAGGCUGAUACCGCCCAAGAGUUCAUAUCGACGGCGGUGUUUGGCACCUCGAUGUCGGCUCAUCACAUCCUGGGGCUGUAGUCGGUCCCAAGGGUAUGGCUGUUCGCCAUUUAAAGUGGUACGCGAGCUGGGUUCAAAACGUCGUGAGACAGUUUGGUCCCUAUCUACCGCGGGCGUUGGAUGAUUGAGAGGGUUUGCUCCUAGUACGAGAGGACCGGAGUGAACGAGCCUCUGGUUUACGGGUUGUCAUGCCAAUGGCACGGCCCGGCAGCCAAGCCCGGAACUGAUAACCGCUGAAAGCAUCUAAGCGGGAAGCAGGCCUCAAGAUGAGUCAUCCCGAACUUUAAGUUCAUAAAGACCGUUGCAGACUACGACGUUGAUAGGUCGGAAGUGGAAGUGCUGUGAAGCAUGAAGCCUGCCGAUACUAAUUGUCUGAAUGUCUUGGCCAU
rnacentral:rRNA from 1 species